rnacentral:rRNA from 1 species
GUAGGUGGCAAGCGUUGUCCGGAAUUAUUGGGGCGUAAAGCGCGCGCAGGCGGUUCUUUAAGUCUGAUGUGAAAGCCCACGGGCUCAACCGUGGAGGGUCAUUGGAAACUGGAGAACUUGAGUACAGAAGAGGGAAGCGGAAUUCCACGUGUAGCGGUGAAAUGCGUAGAGAUGUGGAGGAACACCAGUGGCGAAGGCGGCUUUCUGGUCUGUAACUGACGCUGAGGCGCGAAAGCGUGGGGAGCAAACAGGAUUAGAUACCCUGGUAGUCCACGCCGUAAACGAUGAGUGCUAAGUGUUAGGGGGUUUCCGCCCCUUAGUGCUGCAGCUAACGCAUUAAGCACUCCGCCUGGGGAGUACGGCCGCAAAGGCUG